UACGAGAGGCCCAAACGUUAUUCGGAUUUACUGGGCUUAAAGAGUUCGUAGGCGGUGCAGAUAGUGGGGUGUGAAAGCCCUCGGCUCAACCGAGGAAUUGCGCUCCAAACUCCUGUACUCGAGGAAGCUAGAGGUGAGCAGAACUGAUGGUGGAGCGGUGAAAUGCGUUGAUAUCAUCAGGAAUACCGGAGGCGAAGGCGGCUCACUGGGGGCUUUUCUGACGCUGAGGAACGAAAGCCAGGGUAGCGAACGGG
rnacentral:rRNA from 1 species